UACGUAGGGUGCGAGCGUUGUCCGGAAUUAUUGGGCGUAAAGAGCUCGUAGGCGGUUUGUUGCGUCGGCUGUGAAAUCCCGAGGCUCAACCUCGGGUCUGCAGUCGAUACGAGCAAACUAGAGUGUUGCAGGGGAGACUGGAGUUCCUGGUGUAGCGGUGAAAUGCGCAGAUAUCAGGAGGAACACCGGUGGCGAAGGCGGGUCUCUGGGCAGCAACUGACGCUGAGGAGCGAAAGCGUGGGGAGCGAACAGG
rnacentral:rRNA from 1 species